UUAUAUGAUGAUACAAAUAUAUUGUUGCUCGAAGAUUUAUCGAUGUGAGCACAUGAUUUCUCAAUAGACUACAACGGUAUCUGAAU
rnacentral:ncRNA from 24 species